GUGAAGUCGACGAUGGUCGGUGGCUGGUUUUGAAGCAGAACGGGCGAUUCGGGAUGAACCGGAAAGCGGGGAGAAAGGGCCCGAGAUUGCGUCGACGCGGAUACCCGAAAAGGGCGUCGAUCCGUCGCGACAGCGGGACGGUGGUCAUGGAAGUCGAAAUCCGCUAAGAAGCGUGUAAAAACGUACCCGCCCAACGGAUCGGCCCCGAAAAUUGAUGGCGCUCGAACGCAACCCUCGAACCCCGCCGACGGAGGCUAGGGGAGGCCCCGUCGAGUAGGCGGACGCGCGGGUCGCUUCGACGCUCCCCGCGCGAGCGGGGGCGGAGCGGCCCGUGGUGCAGAUCUUGGUGGUAGUAGCGAUCACCCAGGCGAGAACCCUGAGGGCCGAAGUGGAGAAGGGUUUCUCGAGAACGGCACUCGCUCGAGAGUUAGUCGAUCCUAAGCUGCCG
rnacentral:rRNA from 1 species